CCAGCUUUAGAAGAAGUAGUGCCACUCUUCCGAUCUCCAGAUCCUGGAUAUCUCUUCUGAAAUUAAUUCACCAUCCAUUUUGAUCUCUGAUAUCUGUAAUGGUGACAACUAUCUGCAAUGCUAAGUGAAAGUCCACGAAGUAUUCCAUCAGAGUGCACUUCUCCACCCACAUAUCUAAUCACAAUUUUGUCCUGCUUCACUAAGCCUUCCUAAAUUAUGAAAUUCUCGAUUAUAGCUAUUUAUUUGCCUCCAAAAUGCCACUUCACAGGAGAUUUUCACUUGUUUUAUGGAUCAUCCGGAGUACUAUUUUCCCAUCCAACGUUCUUAGUUGUAAUUCUUCAUGGGAUUUCCAAAAUUGUUUGAUAAGCUGACGUCUUUUUGGUAUUUCAAGUUCUUUAUCCUUGAUGAUGGGAAAAAAGGUUUUUACCUUAUUCUUCGAUGUCUUUUGGAACUUAAAGUGUAGACCAUUUAACCUGAUGUUUCUUUAUCUUCUCACCAUUAUUGUCCCACAAGAAGUCUCCUAUUUGUCCUACCUCAUUAACAUUUGAAACACAAGCAUAGAUGUGUUAGCAUACUAUCCAGCACACUUAUUACUCUCUCCUUUUUAUUUUGUAUAACAGUGUGUGAAUGGGAAUGGAGUGUAGAAAAAGAAAUGACAUUUGAAAUGUAAGCUAGAUACAGGGGAAGAUCUAUUAAGGCCCGUGAUGGUGCCACGCCACCCGCAAACUUCGACGGAAACUCUCUCUCUUUCUCUAGGUUUAUAUAUAUACUAAUAUACUCAAAUAAUAAACAUGCCACACACAAUACCAAAAUAUCAUUUGGUGCAAGUGGUAAAGUGCCACUUUUGUGGUCCAAAGGUCAUGGGUUCGACCUCAGUUGGUAGCAUAUUUUUCUUAAAAAAUUAAUUUUAGUCAAGAAUCAAUUGUUGAUUAAAGCACCAUAAGUUUUACUUAUAUUUUAGAUAUAUGUAGACAGUAUUAAUUAUUAUUUCGACUUUCUUUUAUUUCUCAGGUUGUUAAGAAAUGUAUACUUUUAUUCUCUCUCAUCAAAAUUUUAAAAAACCGUAUCCCUCCCAAUUCCCAAAUCUGCUUUUUGGUUCAUUGCCACUGCUGCUGCCGCCCGCCGGAUUCUUUGUCGUCGCCGGCAAAGGCUCACGGCCUCAACUUCACCGCUUUUCGCAUCCGUUGCUAAUACAAAUAAUCUGGUGAUUUAACCGAUAAGUUUACUUGGCACCCGGACAGUUCGGAUCCUAGAUCCGCCUCUGGCUAGAUAUAUAAAACACAGCAAAAUAGCUUCAAAAAUUGUGCCACUUCAGUUGCCAUGUCAUUCUUAUAAGAUUAUGUUAUUAAGGGCAAAAUGAAUGCUAAUUGUUUUUGUUCAUCAUCAUCCAUUUAUUUCUAUGUUUGAAGCUCCUUAGUUUUUACACUUUUUUUAAAUGAAAAAAAAAGAAGUAAAGAUUACGGAGCUUCAAAUAUAGAAAUUCAUGAACGACGACGCAGAGCUGACAAAGCAAAAUAGCUUUUUUGUAUUUUAUUUUCGAUUUUAUAAAUCAAACUAACGUUUUAAGAAAUAUGAUACAGUUGAAACUUUAUUAUAUUUAUUUACAAAAUUUUAAGAUUAUUGACACCACAGGCAAUACAUGUGUCAAGCAACUAGUUCACUGAUUUAAUGUAACAAUUACGAAAGAAAUAGUUUGUUUCAGUAAUGUUCGUUUGCAACUUAAAAAUAACAAUGUUCUAAUGAAACAGAGCAUAUCAGUAAUAGCACAACUAAACGACAACAACAACAACAAUAAAAAACCCAGUGUAUUCCCACCAAGUGGGGUCUGGGGAGGGUAAAAUGUACGCAGUCCAUACUGCUACCUCCGAAGAAGUAGAGAGUCUGUUUUCGAUAGACCCCUGGCUCAAGAUAAAGAACAGUUAACAAGGUCAUAGUAAUACAUGAAACAGGAUGAGUGGCAUAACCGAAAUAAGAAAUAGUAAAAAUAGAAAUAAGAGAGACACGAAAAUAAGAGCAAUAUGAAAAUAAGAGAUAGGAAAUAAGGAAUACGAAGGGACACCCACUAAACUGGCUACAUAAUUGAGAUUUUUGUACUUUACAUGUUUUUUUGAUUCUUUAUUAUUCAGUGAGUUCUUUUGGUUGCGUGAAGGAGUUUUUUCUUUUCUUUAAUGUUUGAGGCUUGUAGGUCAGAGGCCUUUUAUUGGUACUUUUUGUAGCAAACACUAUCAUACGUAGUAUCACUUGGCUUUCCUGUGUUAGUUGAGCCGGAGAAACAAAGCUGUUGUGAUCUUAAAGUUACAAACAACACAGAUCAGUAUGUUGCAUUCAAGGUAUGCUUUAUCUGAAUUUGUCAAAAUUUCACAGUUGCUUCAUCACAUCUUUAAUGACUAUUACAACUCAUAUCUAGAUAUAUCCUGUUUUAUUUUCAUUGUUAGGUGAAAACUACUUCUCCUAAAAAGUAUUUUGUUCGGCCAAAUACGGGUAUCGUACAUCCCGGGGAUUCAUGUUUUAUACGAGGUGCCACUCUGAUUCUUAAAGUUCUAUUAGAAGCUAAAAUAUUUUAUAUAUUAGUUGGUUUCGAAUGUAAAAGCAGAAUAUUUAUGCUAACAUAUUAUACACAAAAGUUACUUUACGCUAGUUUCACCGUUAGCCAGAAAAUAUAGUUAAGCAGCAUUUAUUCAUAUCAUUGUAAAUUGCAAACGUAUGCGCAUAAUGUUCAAAUAUUCGCUUGGAUCAUUUUACCCCCUUUUGCUGAUUGGACACAAACUUUCGUAGGAUAAAUUUAUCUUGCGGAGUUAUGACUAGGAAUUACUUUAAUGGCUUACAGUUUAUUGUCUCGUGCACAGCACACUUUUCUUUUUUGUUGGAUUGAUAUCAUGGCAGAUACUACCCUUUGAUUGCAAUCUGUGCUGAUCUAUCCUUCAACCUAUGGGUUCACGUGAGCCAAUAGCUUUUACUCAAACCAUGUAUUUAUUUUUAGAAAUCCACUAAAUAUAUAUAAUUACUUGACUAAAAGCCCAAAUAUUAAUGUAUAUUAACUUGAGAUUGUUGUAGGAAGCCAUAAACUUCAAGUCUUGGAUCUGCCAUAAACUUCAAAUCCUGGAUCCACCACUUGAAAUGAUGAUUACAUCCUUCAUAUAUGACAGGAAGUCUAGGAACAGGGAUACUAUAUUAAUCAUAUACUAAAACAAUCUCCCCUGACCCCACUUUUGGGAUUACAGUGGGUUUGUUGUUGUUGUUGUAUAUUUAAAACAAUCCAAUAAAACUGUUAUUCUGUGACAAAUAUUUCAAGAACUUGGCCAUUUGUAAUCUGUGAUAUGUCUUUUUAUUAAGAGGACGUCUAUGCAGUUAGAUAUUCAUUUAGGUGCACCUCAUUGUACUCAAUAUGUUCUUCUUGUGACAUCUCAGUUGUCCAUGCAAUUUGUUGUUCCAUCCUGACAUUGAACAUCCUUUUAUGUUUUUACUUAUCAAGAAAAGAAAGUGAUAUCCUUUUGAUUAGUUGCAUCCUGUAUUGUCUCUAGUCACCCUUCAAGCUCAAAAGGACUACCCCCCGGACAUGCAAUGCAAGGACAAGUUCCUCUUACAGAGCACCAUUGUGAAUAGUGAUGCUGAUGACCUUCCUCCAGAUACUGUAAGAAUUUGAUAGAAUUCCGCAUUAUGAUUGAAGAGAGAAUGUUUGUUAUCUUUUCAUUUUCGCUCAAUGCUAUUGACUACUGUUUGUUAAUCUAGUUUAACAGGGAUAGCGGAAGAAAUGUAGAGGAGUGCAAGCUUAGGGUUGUUUACGCCUCUCCUCACUCAUCCCUGGGACAUUCCGAAAAUGCGUUUAGCCAAAGUUCUGAUGUCAACUCUGUAAGUUCUAAAUUCAGCUUAUAGUCUCAUUCAGAUGUCAAGUCCUUACUUUCUUCUUCCUAAAGUCAUGCUGCUCGAUUUCUUAGGAUAUACUGAUUGGUGACUGAAAUGUUUAUAUGCACAUGAGAUUUUUAAGAGAACUGGUCUUAGGUUUCUCUAAUAAUGUCCAGAGGUUUUGAACAAGUUUUUGUGAUUUAUAACUUGUCAGGCUUUGCUUUUUUUUUCUUCUUUCCCUUUUUCUUUUCCCCUAUUAAGAGCCAGAUGUUGCUAGAUUUCAUAAUGCAAGUAGUCUUUCCACCGGUUUUCUGUGCAUGCUCAUUUUAAAUGUUUGGCUUUUCUUGACAAUGGUUAGGUGCUUUAUGUGAUUGCUUUAGUUUGUGUCUUUGUGAUGGGAGGGUUAAGAGAUUUUCCGGACGAAACUGGUGAAAACAAAAGAAAAUUGAGAGAGGACAAACUACAAUUAUUGUUCUGGCUUUUGAGGAUAAAAUUAUAAUGGAUGAGCAGAUAUGUAUCAUCUUAGCUCGCUUCUCCUUCCUUAAUGGAAAAUUGUGUAUAAUUUUUUUUGCUUGUGACAAUCCUAAGAAGAAAUGGUUAACCAUUAAUAAAUAGAAGAUAUGUGAUAUUUAUUAAUUAUUUCGCUGUUUGGGCUUCAAUGGUAUUUUCCUCCCUUUAGGUAGAACAGCGAUAAAAAGGACUUUGUGGAGCCUUGUUGUGUAAGGUUUACUUGAUAAUUAGGAUGUCAAGGAUGGUCUUUGUGAAAACGUUAUUCUGACCACUUCUUUCCUUGGUGGAGACACUCUUUCUUUUUGCUCCUUAGGAACUACUCAAGGAUAUUGAGACCAUGGAGAUGCUUAUGCAAGACUAAUUCAAUGAAAGGAGCAACUGCUAAGGCUUACAUGUUUAAACAGUAUUUCUAUUGGGGGAAGUUGUCUAAGCCCAUCACUCACUUGAAAAUCAACAUGACAUUUGAUAUUCUCACCCAUCCUCAUAGUCCUUUGUCUAAAUCAUGGGCCGUGUACCAUCUUGGAGUAGUUUUUCAGAGCCACGUUUCCUUGUAUCCCCCCACUAGAUGUCAGAUGAAACUUUGCAAAACAGAUGGUUCUACUUCUCAAUCUUGAAAAAGAGAUAACUGCAUAUAUAUAUAUAUAUUUGGUCAGAUCGUGGACGAAUUAUUCUCAGUUUAAGCUUUCGUUAUUGACAUGACAUAGUGUAUAAAUCUCCAUAGUCGGUAUUAGGGGGAAAGAAAUAUUUUGUGACUUCAGGUUUUAGCUCUAAUCAUAUGGAGGCUUGUGUUGGCCAAUUAAAACUUUUAGUUGACCUUGCGUCAUGUCUGAACAAAAGAUUAAUAUGCCAUCGCCCAUCAUCAUCUUUAAGCUUGUACAUGAGAUUCAAAAUUUUAUCUUUGUCCCAAGUUUGAUAUUGUUGCUAUAUGCUUUCUCUUUGAUGGCAUAGAGUCAGGCACUGCAGCAUGCCAGAGACGAAAGGGAUGCAGUUUUACGACAAACACAGCAGCUGCAACAGGAACUGGUUAGUCUACUUCACAAUUUUCUAUUUAUUUCAUUGUGACAAUUACCUUCAUGUAAGAGUAUGUGCUGGUCCAAAUCAAUACCAUAUAUUAGCGCAUAAAGGAUGCUCAAUAUGCAGAACUAUCUGAUCAGAUGAAUCAUAGUUGAUACACGAAAAGCAGCAGAAGAUGAAUUGCAGUGAUAUAUUUGACUUGCUAUUAGUUCAUUAUAAUCUUGGGUCGUUAUAGACAUCAUCAUAUAAGCCAAAAGACAUGAUAGUUCUGGGAACCAAAAAGAGAAGGAAAUAUUUGAAAUGACGCUUUCGCGUGGGGAGUAGCAGCAACUUGCUUACGCUUACUUGGCUUUAUUUGAAGCAGGCAGGGAUUAUGUAAAAAAUAUUUGAAUGUUGAACUAACAGGCUGUAUAGAAAUUGAACCCUACAUCACCUUAAUCAAGAAAAAUUGCACAAGAAGGAUAUAGCUAUAGAUCGAGAAAAAAUUUCUUGUGUAUCUGGAUGGCAAGACUAGUAUUGGUGAAUGGUGAUAGCUUCAUCUGUCCAUAAAUUUUCUUUGAUUUUAUCAUAUUACAUGCAUCCUUUCGUGUAGUUGGCUACUAUUCUCAUACAUGUUGCCUCACUGACCUACAGGAAAUGCUGAAGAGACGAAGAAAUCGGAGAAGUGAUGCAGGCUUCUCUGUAAAGUUUGCACUUGUGGUGGGACUCAUUGGGUUAAUGGCUGGGUUUCUAUUUAAACUCUUGAUGUCUUCACCUUCUACAGAAUAGCUCAAGUCCCCUCGCUUGUGGAGUUGCGCAAGUUUUUCUUUUAGGUUACUGUAAAAUUUUCUAGUGUUUGUGAACUUGGAGAGCACUGGCUCUGUUCUUUCUGUGUAAAUUGAUCAUUUUUAUGAAACUACUUUGUAAGCGUUCUCACCAUUUUUCAGUUCAUAUAUGUUUUUUUUUUUUUUCUCUUGACAAUUAACUGCUUUUUGCCUGUCACAUUGUGCCACAGUGCCAGAAUUAAAAUUCACUAUAAACCAUAGUGUACGAGAAAUGGCCAUGUUCAAGUAAGUUGUUAGUGGGAGAUGACAGAUAUUUCGUGUAUUUAUGCAACGUAAGUGAAAGUUUGUCCGGACACCACGGUUAAAAAAAAGCGUAGCUAAACAGAAUCAAAACCUCUGCAUCACAGUUCAAGUAGUACUUUAUACAACACGAACAAGAUCAGGAACAUGAUGCAAUAUUUCAUGAAGCUGAGGCAAAACAUCACAAAUUCUAAAUGUCACAAUUUAGAAUGUCCUUAUUUGUAAAAAAUAUUGCAAAUAUUAACAAAAACUACCCUACCAGAAACAUUAAACUCGGUCUAAUGUUUGCUGGCAUGUUUCUCAAUCUUACUGACGAAACAUUAGAUUGUCAUCGAAAAUUUGAAUAACUUACAAACAUUUAGAUCAUAAUCUGACGUCUUCUUAUACGAUUUUCAGUUUGCUCGGUAAAGAUUGUUAAACCAUGUUGUUUAUGUCCAAAUAUUGUAAACAAAUUUUAGGAAAAAUAACUUAAAGUAUACACCAUAACUUACCAUAUUUACACAAAUGUCACCCCUACAAAGUAAUUAAAAAAAUUUCAACUAAUUAUGUAACUUCAUUGGAUGUAUCGGCAAACUAAUUAUUUAUCUCGACAGACCCAAAUUGAAAAAAAUGUAUCGAGAGCCAAUCAUGUUUAUUUACAAAGGAAAAAAUGUAUUUUCGUGUAUUAUGUAUCUUGACAGAUCCAAAAUCAGAAAAAAUAUAUUAGAAAUUCAUUAUGUAUCUUUACAAAGGAAAAAAUGUAUCUUCCUUGGAUGUAUCCGGAGCUAAUAAUGCAUCUAGACAAACCAAAAAUUAAAAUUUCCAGUAAUUAUAUAGAAUAUCAAAAUUUUCUGUGAUUAAACUUUAAAGUCUCGGAAUUUAUGUUGUUUGGCCCCAUGAUUUACCAAACAACUCCUAUCCUAAAAGGGAUAACUUGUGAAAAUUCCUGGAUAUAUUUGUGUAAAUAGGCCGGCCCAAUUAUGUGUUUAAGGCCCAGCCCAUAUUCCUAAUAAGAAAAGAACAAAUUUAAACUCUACUCCUAUUCGACUUUAUCAUUUUUCAAUUUCUGAUAAAAACAAAUUGGCGGGAAUUACAAACCCUACACCAAAUCAUUUUCCCGCUGCCCUCUUUUUCUCUCUCUCUCUCUCUCUCUCUCUCACUCAAAUUCACUCAUCUCACUAAACGCCUUUCUCCAUUUCCAAUUCAUUUCUCUACAAAGCAAAAUCCACAUGCUUUUCUUCACUUUCCAGAUCUGAAAAAUCAAUGGAACUUCAAUUAACUUCACUCUCCACCACCACCGCCAUUUCUGAUAUAAAUAAAGCAUGGCACAUUUUCGCUCUUUUGCUAUCAACAGGAAGACCAGCUCAACUAUCCGAACUUUCAUCUAAAUGCAAUUUAUUCUCCGCUUCGCCGGAAUACAUCGAAUUUCUCUGUUCCAUUCCUAAUUCUCCGAUUCAUUUGACGAGUAAUUACUUUGUUACUUUUUCUAAAAUCGGAUUUAAAUCAACCGUUGAAUUCUUCGCUAAUGCGGAUGUUGAUGUGGUUCGGGGUAGAGGAGAGAAGGAGUGUAUAACGAGGACUUAUUUUAGGAAAAGGAAAAGAGGAGCUGGGUCGGAGGUUGAGUAUCCGCAUUUGGGUAAUAAAAGAGGAUUUUUCAAUAAGUUUGAUGGUAGGAUACGUUAAUUUGAGUAAUUCUUUUUGUUUUUGAUUUUUGUGUUGUGAUUAUGGCGGUUAAAUGGCGUAUUUUGUUUGUUAAAUUCAGGUAAGGAAAGAAGUCAAGUGAUGAUGCCUUUGCCUUCGAUGGCACAGAUGAUUUAUGAACAGGUAAUUUUGAGGUUUUCGUCUUCUAAUUUGACAAGUUGUGAGCCUUGUUGUAGUUUAUUAUGGUGUAUUGUUAGACGAUAUUUAGUCAAAUUAGAGUUAGCGUUAUCUGUCAAAUGAGACUAGGAAUUUGAAAUUGAGCUUGUUAAUAUGCCCAUGAAAAAUGUCAAGUUGCGAGCCUUGUAGUUAGGUAAGGCAUACUAUUUGCUGAUAUUUAGUCAAGGUUUGUAGUGUUAGCAUUAUCAGUCGAAUGCGAUUGGAAAUAUGUAAAUGAGAUUGUUAAUAUGCGGAUAGAGAUUAUCAAUGUUUUCUAACUUGAAUUUGGCGAAAACAUAAGAAGUGCAAAGAGAUUUGUCUGAUAAAUUUGCUUGUAGCAAAUGCAAACUCUAUGUUUACGAUAUCUAGGUUUUGUUUUAGAUCUGAGGUAAUAGAGUUAAGAAUAUAGAGUUAGAAGUUUUGUUCCCAUAUUUCAGGCAUUAAUAGUCAAUUGCAGCUCUUCAUGAAGUUCACAUGCUUCAUAUCAUAAUGAAUCAAUACGAGAAUGGAAAAAUCAGAAACUUCUAUAUAGUAUACGACUUAGAUUACUGGAAUAUGUACCGUCCUAUCUACUUCUGCUAUUGAUAAAUAAUGCCAGUGAAUAAUAUGUAUAUAUAGAAGUGUUUCUUCCCUAAUAGUUUAAGCUUUUGGAUGACAUGUUUUGUACACACCUCAAGGAGGCAGGAUAUUUUUCACAUGCGUAGCCCAGGAGAAGAAUUAAGAUUGUACGAUAGAGGGUGUAGUAUAAUCCUAAAUUCUGUGAUCUCUAAUUGUUUUUACUUUUAAAAGAGAUAGUUUGAAUUGAGAUUGUACGAUAGAGGGUGUAGUAUAAUCCUAAUAUAUAUAUUCAAAAUUCUGUGAUCUCUAAUUGUUUUUACUUUUAAAAGAGAUAGUUUGAAUUGAGAUUGUACGAUAGAGGGUGUAGUAUAAUCCUAAUAUAUAUAUUCAAAAUUCUGUGAUCUCUAAUUGUUUUUACUUUUAAAUGAGAUAGUUCACACAGUUCAUAGGUUAAGGGAUAAUGCAGUGAGAAAAGCCCUCUUAAUUCAUGAUUUCAGAUGGCUAUUGAUGAAAAAUAAGAGGAGAAAUCACAUGAUAAAUUGAUUAGGUGACUGCACUAUUUUCUAAUAGAGCUUUAAUUGGGAUCAAAUAACAUACAUUGAGAUUACCAAUGCUUUUUGGAUAAUAUGGCACAUUAGUCUUCUCUGAAUUUUCUCUCUUAUGCCCUAGACCAAAGGAAAUUAGGAGAUUUUUGAAGGUAAUCUUGCUUUGUCUCUCCAUCUAAAUGAGCGUUAUUCUUAAUUGGCUUUCAUUUGAAUGUAUUGUUUUGUUCCACUCUAUGCUUGAGUUCAAAAUCUUCAUCUUUGUUGACUCUAAUAUUGCUGCUACAGGGAUAUGUUCCCAAAGGCAAUUUGAGUUGUGGCAUAAACCCAUUGACAAGAAUACUAUCGUCAUUGGCUUGUGAUUUCAAUGGAUUUUAUGAAAUGUUCAGAACUUGUUGGAUAAUUGAUGGUAGUGCCAGACCAUCAAGUUCUGGACUCAAGAGCAUUGAGUAUGAAUGCAAAAACAAGACAGAGAGGGGAGAGAACAGCAAUGAAUCAAAUUAUGUACAUAUACCUAUUUGUAAAUCUAAAGUUCCUAGUCAUAGCCUGUUCAGCUCCACUAGAUCGAUGAAAGUUGAAAGUAUCACAGAUUCCAUGCUUCAGUUAAAUCCACACCCCGCCAGUUCAUUGGAAACCACAUUCACCAGUACAGCUUCCGAGAUGGUUGGUAAUACAGAAAAGAAACUAAACUCUUGCAUUAAUUCCUGUACAAUAGUGGACAAAGAAAUGGAAUUUUUGCCAUCUGCAGCUGAUGCUUCUGUCCACGGCUUUGAAAGGAUGAGUCAAAAGGAAAAUUUUGUGGAAGACAGUGAAGAAGAACCCGCUUCUUAUCCUGUUAAUCAUAGAAACGUUAACUGCACUAAAACUCAUCCAACAAAGGCGAACAUAUCACCUCAAGAUGAUUUACUUGAAGAGAAUGCUACCAAGGAAUGCUCGACUUCACUUCUCCACAUAGAUAGAGUGAAAAAAGAUAAGCCUCUGCAGAGCCACGCCAUCUUAGCGCGCACACAAUCUUUUCGUCAGAAGCAGCAGGGAAAACCAGUCCCUAAUUCGACAUCCUUUCAGAGGGAUGAAUCAGAUCACAGGGAGCUGAGGAAUUCCAAGGCACCAAAGAAUCAUAAAACCCCCAGUCUGUUUCUCAACAAAGAGCAACCCAGAACAGAUCCAAAGUUAAUCCUUAUGAAGCUGAAGCACAAACAGAACUAUGACUUGGAUAUGGGGAUUAAUGAGAGGAAGGAAAAUCCAUAUGAACAUGGGGAUAAUUUCGUAUGUAACUCUGCAAAAGUAAGCUCCAAUGCAUCAUUUUAUAUGAAUUGUAUUUGGUUAGUUUACUGCUAUAAAAUCAUGAUGCAAAUCUCAAGGUGCUUGUUUUGUAGAAUCAAUCGGAGCAAAAUCAGUUGCCUAACUUUGAGUCUUAUUUUGUGGAGGAAGCAGAAGGUUCAGGUAUUUACCUUGGACUGGCUUCCAAUCUGUAGCAAUGAUCAUUCCGAAGUUUUUAUCAGUAUAUAUGCCUUUAACAAUCCUGAUGACUAUAUUUGUAGGUGGUUAUGGGACGGUGUACAGGGCAAGGAGAAAGAGUGAUGGAGUGAAGUUUGCAAUUAAAUGUAUGAUAACACAAGCUCGUGUAUUAUAUUAAAUUUAAAUUUCUUUGAUUUGCUAUAUUUGGAUCAUAUGAAUCGGGGAUCCUUUAGCAGUUGAAUGUUGUUUUGUUCAUGCAUAUUGUUGAAUUUGACUGGUUAACUUCCAUGAUAUAUAUGUGGAUAGAUGUAGGUUGAUACUCAUUAACGUUAUUGAGCUAGGUCAAAGGGAGAACAUAUUGAAGUACAUGUUGACAAUGCAUCAAAAGAUUUGAGACAUUCUUCUGUCUUCAUUAUUACUUGGUUCCAUUGUGGCACUGUCUUUUGCUAUUUAGAUAUCUAUAUCAGUUUGAGGCAUUGCAUUAACUCUUGUGAAUUGUUCCCGUGUUGAAAAGUUGCUUCAUUAUCAAACAAAUGGUCAAAUGGAGCAUCUAUGCCCUUUUCGGCGUUUUCUCUGAUACAAAUCCAUGUAUGCUGUAACUGGGGGUCAAAUUUAGUGCUCCUGAGGUGAUCAUUAUAAUCGAUACGUUGAUUGUGCCUUUUGCAGGUCCUCACUCAAAUGCUAACAGAACACAUGUCCAUAAUGAGUUAAAGAUGCUACAGCGUUUUGGGUAAUGAUAUGGGAGAUUGUUUUGAGGAACCAUGGAUACAACAUUAAUUUAUGCAUAUAUUAUAUCUAUAGCUAUAUAUGCACCACGAGAAUUCUUCUAAGACCUUUGCUUUAUGACAGGGGAAAGAACUUUGUAAUUAAGUAUGAAGGAUCAUUCAAGAAUGGAAAUUCUGACUGCCUUGUUCUAGAGCAUGUUGAGCAUGAUAGGCCAGAUGUUGGUUUCUAUUUUUAAUCUUUUGAGUUAUCUAGUUUAAACAUAUUAUAGUCGUUAUUUUAACAUGUUUACUGUCAUGGUUCUUACUCAAGGUCUUGAAAAGAGAGAUGGAUGUUUCCCAGCUGCGGUGGUAUGGCUAUUGCAUGUUCAGGGCACUUGCUGGUUUACAUAAACAGGUAAGAGAGAAAAGAUGCAAACGAACUGAAUGGGUUUCCUGUAAACACAACUUGACUUCUAAUUUUCUUACAUGCAGGGUAUUGUUCAUAGAGACGUUAAACCUGGAAACUUUCUUUUUUCAAGAAAGGUUGAUAAAGGUUACCUUAUCGACUUUAACCUUGCCCUGGUGAGUGGUCUAUCCAACUUCGUAGGCAUUUUCUUCUUGUUAUGUUUUUGAACUUGAACAAUCAAUUGACAUUUUCCUUUAUCCAUUUGCUGCAUAGGAUCUGCACCAAAAAUAUGGAACGUCAGGUACUUCCUCUUCGUGCUGAUUUCCUUCGCUUGAAAGAUGUCUUGUGCUUCCAAGUUCCAUGGCAUCAUGAUCUUAAGUUUCCCUUCAACAGAAGAAUGAGCUUCUUUAAGGAAAAAAUGCAUCAUGUUGAAUAAUGUUUUAACUCCGAAUAAUGUUGAAUAUUUCAAGUUCAAUCUUCCCCACUUUUCUUGUAAUUUAGCAAUUGAAUGUUCACCAAGAACUGCAUAUGUAUAAUUCACAGAUAAGACAAAGUCGAUCCAUACCACGAGCUUUAGUGGUGAUCCUAUUCCUCUUGCCAAGUCUCUUCCUCCAAUAAAACAGAGAAACUCAACUAUUAAACUUGGGGAAGACAUCAACGAGGAAGCAGGAAAAGGCGUAAAGUCUCUAAUAAGACACAAAAACGUUAAAAGGAAGGCUGACCAAGAUAAGGUUGGCAGUGAUAUUGCAUAUAGGAGUAUUAUAAAAAGUAAAUGCGCUGAUGGUUCGGGGAUAACCUCAGCCAAGGAUGCCACAAGCAAUAGGACUCCAUCAGCAGAAAGGUUGAGAGAACCCCUUCCACGUCUUGGUAGGAAGGCGCUGAUUGACAUAGCUGCGGAAGUAGUACAUCAACAUCCAAACAAUGUAGAUACGAAAGGUCCAACUUCCAAGAGAAAGAGGGUUGCUGCAACUCCCGGAAAAGUAGAAAAUAAGUACGUUUGCAUAACUCCAAUGCCAUUGCAUUCAUCUGGAAUUGCCAUUGGUGGUGCUGGUUUACUGAAAGGCAAAGGUCUGUUAUUUUGUGACACUAGUUUUGGUCGGAACUGUGGUUUCAUGUUUUUUCGUUCCUGAACUUUUGCACCGAGUUUAACUUCUUCAUACUGUUUCCAGGGGACAGGAAGCAAAAGCGAGAAGGACCCUGUGUUGGAACUAAGGGUUUCAGAGCUCCAGAGGUUUGUAUAGCAAUUAGCUAAUUUUGUAUCCAUUCCCCUUGUGACAACUUAGCCUGUUGGCUUAUUCAUUCAUGUUGUUUUUUGUUUUAAGUUGAAAUAGGGAAAAGCCAUCUUUACAUCUUCAUCAUGACAUUCAGAAUCCUUUAACACAUAAUAAAAGAAAUCACUGGCAAUUAUCAUCAUAUUUUGCUUAUUCCACUGAUAGAGGACUUUUGAUGGGUGCAUUGACAGGUUCUAUUCAGAUCUACACAUCAAGGUACAAAACUUGAUAUUUGGUCAGCUGGAGUCACUUUACUCUAUUUCAUUAUUGGCCGAACACCAUUUACCGGAGACCCUGACCAGUAAGAAUCUUUUCUGUAUUCAUUGUCAUUGAACAAGAUCAAUGACUCUGGGAAUUUGCUAACCAUUGUAUAUUUCUAAUUAGGAACAUAAAGGAAAUUGUGAAAUUUAAAGGAAGUGAAGACUUGUGGGAAGUGGCCAAACUACACAACCGAGAGUCUUCAUUUCCAGCGGUAUUAAUCGUUCCAAUGUUUUCUUGCACUGUUCUUUUUUCAUUUAUUACUAUUAUUACAUAGUUUUGAAUAGUAAAUUACCAUGGAACAGGAUUUAUUUGACAUGAAAUCUAUGUUACCAAUGAAAUUACGAGAGUGGUGUUCAAGAAACACCCGAAAAUCAGAUUUUCUAGAGAUCAUUCCACAAUCACUUCUCGAUCUUGUGGACAAGUGUUUAACCUCAAAUCCAAGAUUGAGGAUUAGUGCAGAGGAAGCCCUCCGGCAUGAUUUCUUUGCUCCAUGCUAUGAAGCUUUGAGAAAGCAGAGGCUGCAUCGUCAAAGGCUCACCAAUGACCUAGGAUCUACCCUUACUCUACCUGAAAAUUCUGAGUCAUGUGGAGUAUUGUAAACAAAGACAAGCAGCAUUUUGAAGCUUCUUUUCCUUUCUACCUGUUGUCAUGUAAAAAUAGCUAACCAAUGAAAAUGUAAUUCAUUCAACAACUCUUGAAUUUAGUGUAGUCAUAUGUGUACUUUACUGAUGUUGUAUCUAUGAGUCAUUAACAGAAACUCAAGGCUAGUAUUGUGCAUGAACGUUUGACAUCCAGCUAGACCUUUGCUGCCUUAUAACUAGUAAGCAAGUGUUGUCAUUCAAAGAAGUGAAUGAAAGCGUUUUACUUUUACAGGUUUAGAUGAUAAUUGGAAGUGAGAACCAGCAGUUUACUUGCAAGAAGAGGCAGGUAGAUUCUUCACUCUUUUGCUCAUUUUUUUCUUUGAAGAUUCGAGGAAGCUUACUUGGUAUUUAGUACUAUAAUAAUUUUACUCUUAUUUUUUUUUAGACGCUUUUUGAGACUGAAUAGGCGAAUAAUUGUUUUUGAUGACAUGGCAGUCUUCAAUUGGCUGAAAUACGUGGAAACGUCUUGUACCAACUUACGGUCGUUGAGAUAAUUUUUUUAACUUAGCAUACACGUAAUAGGGGGAUCCCUAAUAAGGUGCUAAUACAUUUUCGUUUUCUCUGGCUUUGUCUGGAUCCAUUGACUUACUAAAUUCCGAAAUUGCCCCUGUAUUUAAUGUUUGAAGUACUCUCUUACAAAUUGUCAUUUUCCUCUCUUCAAUGUCAACUCUAUUAAACUUUACUCAUUUAAUAAUUAAGUUAUUUAGCUAAAGUAUACAACAAAGAAUUCUAAAGCCUCAAUGUUGGUUCGUUUUUGCCAAGAGACACUAGUAUUUCAGCCUCUAAGUUGUCAAAAUAUCAAAUAUCUUUUUAUGAAGUCAACAAAUUUAUUUUCACCUAAAAAGAAUCGAUCAACUUAUUACUAAAAUUAUAACAUUACUUGGAUGUAAUUUAUUGAAUUUAUAUAUUUGCUUAAACUUUGUAAACAAAAAAGUAUAACUAUAGUCUAGAUGAAAAAUUAUGGGAUUUUAUUUUCCUAAUGUGCAUGAAAAUUUUCAAUUUCUUAAAAUUAACACAAUUUUGCAUUCAAUUAUCUUAAAAAUAAAUUUGAAGUGUAUAAAAGAUUAAAUCAAAGUAGUGAUAUUGUUAGCCACAUUUCGUGAACUCUUGACUUUAAAUUGAGUGAUUAUCUAUAUUGACAAAGAGGCUAAUUCAAUAUCCGUUGAUUUUGUCAAUUUAGCCUUCGAUAAAGAGGCUAAUUCCCACUUAAUUUGAAAUUUAGUUCUCUUCCACAAAAAUAAAUAAUUAAUAAAUAAAUAAAAUCAAUGUGGGCAUAAAUGUAAAAUGACAAGAAGUAAUGACGCUGGAAUAUUCAUACGUAAUUUCCUGUAAAUUCGAGAAGCAACUAAAAUUACCCUCACAAAUAAGCACUAUAUAAACGCAUCUUCAACGCCUUACAGGUACAAUAUACUUUCGCACUUUGAGAUAAAAAAGUAAAUUCGUUUCGGUCGUUUCACUGUUCCAAAAAAUACUCGAAGAGAAGAAAAUGGAGGGUUUCACGUCGUUCUUCGAAUCGCAAUCGGCUUCUCGCAGUCGCUGGAAUUAUGAUGCUCUCAAAAACUUCCAUCAGAUCUCUCCUCGUGUUCAAACUCAUCUCAAACAGGUCGGUUUCUUUCUUCUUUUUUGUUAAUUUUGUUAUAAAUUUGAGAUAUCUUACCGUAUUAUUCAAUUUUUCUUACUAUUGUGGUCUGUUUUUAGGUAUUAUUCAAUAUUAUUUUGAUUAUUGUGGUCUGUUUUUAGGUAUUAUUCAAUAUUAUUUUGAUUAUUGUGGUCUGUUUUUAGGUAUUAUUCAAUAUUAUUUUGAUUAUUGUGGUCUGUUUUUAGGUAUUAUUCAAUAUUAUUUUGAUUAUUUUGGUUUGUUUUUAGGUUAUCGAAAUUUGGUACUCGUUACAGGUUAUUGUGAUUUUUUUUAGGUUAUUGAAAUUAGAGAGGAAUUACGAUUCGAUUAUUUGCACUAAUUUGAUGGUUGAAUUUUGUGGUUUAUCAAUUUUUGGUUGUUAUUGCGGUUUGUUGUUAGGUUAGUGGAAAUUUGAUUACAGUUUGAUUAUUGUGUUGUUAUUUGCACUAAUUUGAUGGUUGAAUUUUGUGGUUUGUCAAUUUUUGGUUGUUAUUGCGGUUUGUUUUUAGGUUAGUGAAAAUUUGAUUACGGUUUGAUUAUUGUGUUGUUAUUAUUGCACUAAUUUGAUGGUUGAAUUUUGUGGUCUUGUUAGGUUAUUGUAAUUUUUGUCUUUACGGUUCGAUUAUUGUGUUGUUAUAUGAAGUUUGUGGUAUUAUGAGUUUUUUUUUGUAUGUUUAUUGCGGUUUUCUUUUAGGUUAUUUAAGUUUUGAGUGUCCUUACAAUUGGAUUAUUGUUUUUUUAUUUGCACAAUUUUGACGGUUGAAUUUUGGAACCUAACGGGCGAUAAGAAUCAAUUUAUUUCGCUCUAUGGCUAGGUUUCUUAUCAGAAUCUUUGUUAUUCUUUUGAGAACUGCCUUAAUUUUUGUUUUGCUUUCUUUGUGUCAAAGAAGAGCAACUAAAUUGGAACUUUGAUGAAAUAUUUGUGGAAGACCUAAUUAUUACCUUUCCCUUGUUGCCAUUGAAGAGAGAGCAAAUAGAAUUGAAGUCAAGUGUGUAAUUUAUAGAACAGUCAGGCAGGGAUGCGAGAGGAUCAAUUCUUCAUUUCCACAUGGUUAAGUUUGCUAAAAUUUGACAAUAUGUUAAACGUUUCUUUGGUAACUAAUCAAAAGAUAUUGUACAUAAGAAAAGAAAUUAAUCAUUUAGAUUAUUGAAAAGAAUAAAAUUACAUAGGUUAAAAUGACCUAUGUGAUAUUGAAAGGAGAGCAAUCUUGGAUGUGUGUGGGUAGGUUAAAAUGACCUAUGUGAUAUUGAAAGGAGAGCAAUCUUGGAUGUGUGUGGGUAGGUUAAAAUGACCUAUGUGAUAUUGAAAGGAGAGCAAUCUUGGAUGUGUGCGGGGAUAUAUAUCAACAGAACUCGUGUUUAAAUGACAAAAACCAGAUCUUCCUGAACCAGUGUUUUGAUUGAUUAAUUUUGUGAUGUCAUGCUAAAUUAAGAACUCUGUUUUCGCAUUGAAUUGUAUAAAUGUGGCAGAAUUUGAUUUACAUAUUUAUCUUUUUAUUUGUUCAGUUUUUUCUAGUAUAGAGUUUUACUAUGGCUUGUAUUUCUCAUCUGGACCUUGAUUGAUUUCACGGUUACAGGUCUACCUCACACUAUGCUGUGCUUUAGUCGCAUCAGCUGCUGGGGCUUACCUUCACAUUCUUUGGAACAUCGGUGGCUUCCUCACAACACUGGCUUGCAUUGGAAGCAUGGUGUGGCUUCUGGCAACUCCUCCUUAUCAAGAGGUAUGCGCCGACUUUACUGCCCUUAUUAACCUUAGCAGUCACUCAUCUCUUCGUUCUUUGGUUUAUGCAACUUUGUGGUUAGUUGAUUAUUAAAUUGUAACUGAUACUUGAUGUUAUCUUGGUGAGCAGCAAAAAAGGGUGGCACUUCUGAUGGCAGCUGCACUCUUUGAAGGCGCUUCAAUUGGUCCUCUGAUUGAACUGGGCAUCAACUUCGACCCAAGGUAUGUUUCCUUUCAUAUUGUCCUUUUUCGCGCGUUUGAAAAUUGAAAAUGUUGCUCCUGUUUUCUAGUGUGUUAGUUUGUGAUCUUGUUUGUUAAGCUACCCAUGUGAAACCCGGAUUUGCAUGAUCUCAUUUGCUGUUUGGAAUUGUCAGCCUCUGAUUUGGAAGUGGGACAACUUUGUUGUGUGGUCUCUAUGUUUUUGGUACUUCUUUCGAAUUGCAAUAUCUGCUGCAUUCAAAUGCAUCAUUCCCGGUUUGCCCUUUCAUUUGUGUGUUUAAGGGUCAAGAGUUUUUACCUCUCUUAAAGCAUCACAAAUUUUCACCUAAUUUAUUGGGGGGUUGAAGUUUAUACGAGCAAUGGGGAUAAAUGGAAGCUUCAUCCAAUUUCAAGGCUCGUUCAAUCCAUCCUAAUUCAGUUGGUGACAGUCUGAUCCUUUAUUUUAAGUGCUGCAUUAUCCUGAAGGUGUGAAGUGACUUGUAACUGCUUCUCUCCAUAGUAUCAACUUGUAAUAGCCUGUGAAAGUCUGUGUUCUCGCAUGUAUUGCGUCUGUUUGAGUGCAUGAGUCAGCUGAAUUGUGCAAUUCUUACAGUUUAAAACUAAAAGCUUAACAUCCUGGAGAAGAGAGGCUUUUCUGAUACAUAAUUUUCUUCUGUUGCAGCAUUGUGCUUGGUGCUUUUGUAGGUUGUGGUGUGGUUUUUGGUUGCUUCUCAGCUGCUGCCAUGUUGGCAAGGCGCAGGGAGUACUUGUACCUUGGAGGCCUUCUUUCAUCUGGUGUCUCCCUCCUCAUGUGGUUGCACUUUGCAUCCUCCAUUUUUGGUGGUGCCAUGGCCCUUUUCAAGUUUGAGGUAUGUGCAUUCUUUCCUGCGUGCAGCAGUGUCUGACUUUUAGGAUCCUUUAAGUUUGUAAGUUGCUCUAAUAUUUUUCUUCCAUUAAUAACACCACUGCACCUUUUAUUUGGCAGGUGUAUUUUGGUCUCUUGGUGUUUGUGGGCUACAUAGUCUUUGACACCCAAGAAAUCAUUGAGAAGGCUCACUUGGGUGAUAUGGAUUACGUCAAGCAUGCACUCACCCUCUUCACAGAUUUUGUUGCAGUCUUUGUGCGGAUUCUGAUCAUCAUGGUAAGGAGAACUCAGUUGUUGAUGCAUAUAUUAAUUUCCUGCUGGAUAUAAGUGCUUGAUCUUUUUUUUUAUUUUUUGGCCAUUAAAUUGACUGUUGUUUGCCUUUCUUGCAGUUGAAGAAUGCAUCUGAGAAGGAAGAGAAGAAGAAGAAGAGGAGAAACUAGAUUUGUUCUAUAGGCUACUACUGAAACUCAACCUGUGUAAUUUUCGUAACAGUUCUGUUCACCUAAAGCAAGCAUGUUAAUAGUUCGACACUAGUUUUAGCAUAGGUUGUGAUACAUUGUUGUGUGACAAUGCCAUUAUGGCUGCUGAUUGAUCAUGUGUAGCCUUUCUAUCUUUUGAAGCUUCUUAACAUUUGAUAAGAAAGUUGCUUGUGGGAUAUUCAAAGUGGAACUUUAGUUUCUCUUCAAUCUCCGUUCUCUAUUCCUUUGUUCUGCGUUAUCCGAUGCUUGUUUAACCCCAGUCUGGAUUUACUGUUAAUGGUAUCCCGUAAUUUCUGUUACCCGUAUUGAACUUCACUGUAGUUGAGUGAAUGGUAUUUGGAGGGAGAAUAGUCAGAACUCUUUAAUAAAAGAGUUCCAAGACCAUGAAGCCUAACUGGCCACAAGAAAUUUAUCUUAAGAUUUGACGUUUAUAUAUGUAUUUCUCUGUCAUGCGCUUCGUUUUCCAGUUCUACCUCUGGAUUGUCACCUCGACCAGAAGCUGAAAUAAGGGCCUUCUACAAUUUGAAUUGAUGAAAAUGGUCUUAAAUGCUCAAAACGAAAAUAUGAGUGAUUUGUUUUCGCAUAUUUGAGUUUAGUAAUUUAUGUUGAUGAGAGAUCUCAGCUACUCUAAUACCAUAGACAAUAGAAAAAGAACUUUAAACAGGUUUUCAGUGAAUAUGUAAGGAAAGCUGGCCUUAGUUAACAUGUGGUUUGUUCAAAAGAUUAGGUGAAAGCUGGCCUUCCCUACAAUCCAUUUAAUCAUUUUGUUUGCCUAUAACUUUAUUUAAACAUUUUGGCCUUUGUAAUUAUUUAAUCAAUGUGGGCAAACAGAUGAUAGUGGGGAAUUCUUUAACAUAAAAAAAUUAAAAGAGGUCAUGAUAGCAUCCAUUAGGGUCUAUUUAUUAUGGAAAUUGGAAUCAGAAAAUUAGAAAAAAGAAUGAAAUGAGGGCUCUAUACCUGCAGUUUCCGUGUUGCAGUUUUCUUUUUUUUAUUUCUCAAAUCUCAUCAUAGCUUGAAGGGAAGUCUUUACUGCAUAAGGUACGUUACUCGUGAGAAUUAGUUACUACUUCUACAUCUUCCCAGAGUGUAUAUAUCUAUCAUAUUAACGUGAGGGUGAAUUGAUGGAAUAAAUCUUGCCUUAGAUAAUGAUAGUAUGAUGAUUACAAAUCACUAGGCGUAAAUUGUAAUUGAGUGGGAGGUAUGGUGUUUAUCUGUGCAGAUUUAUCAUGUAGUUAAAUACACUAGUUUGGCAAUAUUUUCAUAUUCUGCUUAUAUGUAUUGCACGUACUCCUAAUAUUGGUUGGGUUGCAAAAAUUUAAAAAGAAGGAAAUUGUGGGAAAACGGUAGUAAUAAUUUCCAGUGAAUGAUUUUAAAAAAAAUUAUAGGAUGUAUUGUUCACCCUUAUACUAACUUUGCUAUUGUUAUUAGAUGGUACUGCAACAUUAAUGACUUAGUGUAUAUAUUAGAUAGGUUAUAUUAUUAGUUAAUUGUAACUUAAUGAUGCUUAUAUAGUUAUAUUCUGAGUACCGUUUUCAUGGUUAGUAUUAGGCUUGACCGCCUGUGUCGUGGACCUCAGAUUUUGAGAUUACAUGUUUGAACAGAUUUUGACCGUUCAGAGACGUUACGAAAGGGAAAGUUUGUAAAUUGACGUUUGGCUUCGGUUUGAAGUAAGUUGAGACUUUCCUUAGACUCUUUUUCAACAUGCUUACUUGAAUAUUUGUUAGUUAUGUGUUAUGGGAAUUGGGGGUCCCGUGUAGAUGAUUGUGACGAGCAUCUAUGCGGGUAUCGGUGUUAUUUGAAGGGAUAAAAUCAGUAAAUUGUAUGUUUAAAUUGUUUUCCUUAUUUGUUAACCUGCUGGACUGAUUUAUUAUGGUAACUAUUGAAAAAGUUAGCUAAUGAUGAUACUUGCAUAUCAUGCAUUGCAUUACAAAGUAUAUUAUAUAUAUUUAUGGGGUCGGAGUGCACGCCUGCACAGUACAUUAUAUAUUUGUGGGAUCAAAGUGUACGUCUGCACAGUAUAUUAUAUAUAUUUAUGGGGUCGGAGUGCACGCCUGCACAGUAUAUUAUAUAUAUUUAUGGGAUCGGAGUGCACGCCUGCACAGUAUAUUAUAUAUAUUUAUGGAAUCGGAGUGCACGCCUGCACAAUAUAUACAUUUUGCAUUGCAUCGAAUUAUUUGCUUUAGAAUGGUUAAAGUGGAUUGUGACCUUGUGAUUAUUGUAUAUGUAUUAUUUAUUUUAUCUGAUUGAGGAAUUCUUGGAUUAUGUUAUGAUAUUUUUAUGAUUGUUAAACUGGACUAUUCUGUUUGAUUAAUGUGGUCUUCCUGAUCGCAGGUUGUAUGUUGGUGUUUAAAUGUUUUAUGUGGUGUCACUCGUCACCACUUUAAAUUAGGAUCGGUCGACGAUGCUUGCUCAGUACACGUGGUUUCGUACUCACUCUUACUUUUUCUGCACCCUACGUGUAGGUACAGAUCCGACGACUUCUGAAUAUUGAAUUUUUUGUGGUUCCUUCAUUGCUAGCAUCAUCGGAGAUUCGAGGCAGCUGCUACUAGCUUCAGUGACUACUGAAAUCUCCUUCAGCUUUAUUCUUAUGCAUUUUUCGCAUUUUGAAAGACUCGAAUUUUCUUUUGGCUCUAUAUUUUAGUGGCUUAUAUUAGUGACUUCCAGACCUGGGAUCAUCUACGAAUUGACUUUGCUAGUCUAUUUAUCUAUUUAUGAGAUUAUUCGGGAUUGAAUCUAUUCCUAUUUCUUUCGCUUUUAUGAGUUUGUUAUGUUGUUCUUGAAAUUGGGUUUUUGGCUUACCUAUCACGAAAGGUGGGAUAGGUGCCAUCACGGUCUCGAAUUUUUGGGUUGUGACACCUCAAGACAUCAAAAUGGUUAUUUCGAAUUAGCACAUCAUUUUUUUUAACAAUUAGAAGAAACUCAUUACUAUUUCUCAUAAACAAUCUUAUUUUGAAAUUACUAUUUCUUUUAGGAUGAAUUAACUUACCCACUUCUUCUACAUUGAACGACAACAAUAACUCAUUCGGUAUAUUCCUAACAUUCGAAAAGGGUAAAGUAUAUGCAGUUCAUAUCACUACCUCAGAUGAAGUAGAGAGGUGAUUCCUGAUAAAUCCUUGGUGCAGGACAGAUAACAAUAUGACAAACAAAAAACAUAAAAAUAAACAACAAAAUGAAAUAACACAUCGCUAGAUAAUAAAAGAAACAAAACACCGACAGAGCAAUACUAACUAUCUAAUCGAGAUCACAAACAUCAUCAGAACACUAACAAGAAACUACAAGAAAUUAUAGGCACAAAUAUAAACAAAGCAUUCCUCCUACUAUUACUGACACUCCUACCCUCUAAAUCUCUAUCCUAGUUCGCAUUUUUCAUACCUCCCUAUCAAAGGUUAUGUCCUUUGUAAGCUGCAACCGUUGCAUGUCAUGCCUAGUUACCUCUCUUCAAUAUUUCUUUGACCUAUUUUUACCCCGCUAAAAUCAUCAAUAGCCAGCCUCUUGCACCUCCGUAUUGCAACAUCCAUGCACCUCCUCAUCACAUAGCUGAACCAUCACAACCUCACUUUUCACAUCUUGUCUUUCACCGAAAUCACUCUCACCUUCUCAUGAACAACCUCAUUACUAACUCUAUCUCUCUUAAUAAGUCAGUACACCCACCUCAAAAUCCUCAUUUCCACCACCUUCAACUUUUAGAUGUAGGAGUUUUUAACUGCCCAACACUUCACCUCAUAUAAUAUAGCCAGUUGGACUGUCACUCUGUAGAAUUUACUUUUAAGCUUAGGAGAUACCUUUUUAUCACACAAGAAUUUCGAAGCGAGCCUUCACUUCAACCAUUUUACACCAAUACGAUGUGUGACAUCCUCGGCAAUCUCUCUAUUCACCGAAUCAUUGACCCAAGAUACUUGAAACUAUCUUUUUCGAAUAGUUUGAGAAUCUAGCUUCAAUACCAUGUCAGUCUUAUCUUAUGCAUUGAAUUAUUGAAUUUACAUUCUAAAUAUCCCGUCUUAGUCCUGCUUAGACUAAACCCUUAUACCCUAGGAUCUUGUCGCCAAACCUUCAACUUAUCACUAACUCCUUCUCGGAUCUCGUCAAUUAGUACAAUAUCGUUAGCAAAUAAGAUACACCAAGGCAAGUCUACUUGAAUACACUGCGUCAAAACAAUUAUCACCAGCGCAAAUAAAAAUGAGCUAAGAUACGUUCCCUAAUGCAACCCUAUCAAAAUAGGAAAGUGCUUCGAAUCUACUACUAUCGUUUUUACACACGUCUUCGCUUCAUUGUAAAUGUCCUGAAUUAACCUAGUGUAUGUUACGGGCAUAUCUCUAGACUCCAAACAACUCUACAAAAUCUUUGUGGGGACUUUAUCAUAUGCCUCGAGAUCAAUGAAUACCAUGUGCGAGUGAAUUAGUCUGAUAAAUAUAGUAUCUAUAAAACCAACAAUAAUAAUAUACUUAAUUACGUUUUAUAUAAGUGGAGUUUGAAAAUCUAAAAUAUACCGAGAUUUUAUUAAUAUCUCAUUAACAUGGAAAAAUUAUUUUUGAAAUUUUUCGACUCAAAUAGAAUAUAUCAAAGCAGAUUUAAAAGAAUAAAAGAAAACAAGCAUAUGUUGUGAAUAAAUAAAAACGGAAAAAUUAAGAGGGAAAGGGAUCAUAUUUGCGGAGCAGCCUGACCCGGUUAAAUGACCCAUGUCACAAUAAACCCAGGGAGGAUGUACUAACUUUCUUUCUUCUUCAAAUUAGUAGAACAAUUAUUAUUCAGCUAAGUGAAGCUUCCAAUUUGGUUAAUCAAUGAAGAAGCUUCUAGAAUUCGGGAGAAAAGCAAUGUUCUAUAUUAGGGUUCUCUCAGGUUAUGAAGAACGUAGAAUUCGAUCUUAUCGAUUACAGCUUCAACAACGUCUCCAAGAGGUUCUUCUUCAUCCCCUUUUUAACCUUUUGUUGCGUUGUAAUAACCAAUUCUUUUAAUUGGAAAAGAAAUUUGUAGAGUUAUUCUUAUUGUAAGUCAACUGUAUUGAGUUAGAUUGCAAAAGGGCAAAAAUGAUUCAUUUUUUUCUUUUCAUUGACAACAAAAUAUUCGGUGUAGUUUCACAAGUGGGGUCUGGGGAGGGCAGAGUGUACGCAAACCUCUGACUAAUUACACAAGAUACCUGCCACCUCCCAAGAACAACGGGUGUCAGGUAACUCUAUCUAUCAAAGCUAGGACAGAUUUUUUUCUCUGCUGGUAUUUGAAUAUAAGACCUCGUGAUUGUUAGGCGUACCCGGGGAGGUAGAGAGGCAUUUUUUUUUUUUUUUUAAAUUGGGGAGAAGAAAUUAAUAUGAUUUCUAAUUAGCUUUGGGAUUAUAUGGCUUCUUAAUCUUGAGUUCCAUUUUUUCUACUUGGUGGCAUAUUAAAGCUUCAAUCUUGUCUGCACUAGCUUUAUUUGGCACUGGAACAAUCAAUUUUAAAUCAUUGAAUGUAGCCAUUGGAUCUUUUCUUUAUCCGUUGCCUGAGAUUUGUGGUUAUUCUGCUUGGAUGUUUUCCAAUAGAUGUUUAUUAUUUAGAGGUACGUGUUGCUAGUGGGAGGUGGCUGAUAUCGUGGAUUUAGUCGAGGUGCAUGAAAGUUGGCCUAGACACCAUGGUUAUAUUGGGAAAAAAAUAACUCUAGGAUAUAUUGGGUAGAGCCUGUCAUCUCUAGGUUAAAGACUUGAUUGAUGCAUAAUUAAUACACCAUCAUAAGCUUCCUUUUCUCUUGAGCAUCUUGGGAUCAUUUUGUUUUAUUAGUGCGCGUGGCGUAGGGGGUGGCCAGUGGCGGUGGGGGUGAUGGGGAUGCUCAGGAGAGGGUACAUAUGACUCUGCUUUUUGCAAGUCGAAUUAUAUUUCUGUCGGAAAUUUUCAUAAGGUAUGUAUUUUAUUAAGUCCAUACAUGUACAAAGAGAGUAAUGUGUGCAUUUGUAGUCUGCACCACUUUAUAAAAUCCUGAUAGGCCUUUGGUUGAAGGUCAUAUUUUCUAAUUUAAGCUUCUUUUGGAUGGCCCCUGAUGAUGUUGGUGUUAUGAUAUUAUUGCAAGGAAUGAGACUUGAGUCCCACACCGAUUAAAUGGGAACUGAUGUUGGGCUUAUAUAACCUUGGGCUCCCACCUUCGCAGCUAACUUUUGCGGUAUGGUUCUCCUAAGGUUGAAUCAAGGUAUCAGAGCCACCCAUCAGCCUCCGUGCCCACCGAACAUUGUGCCUAGGAUGGUGAUGAUGAUAUGCCAAUGUUUGGCCAGGGCUAGCAAUGUCUAACCCACAGCCGUUGAGGAGGACGAAUGCAGUGCGUGGUGAUUUGUUAUGAUAUUAUUGCAAGGAAUCAAACUUGAGUCCGACAUCAGUUAAAGGAGGAAAUGAUGUGGGGCUUAUAUGGCCCUGAGCUCUUCCACUUCACUAGCUAGCUUUUGGGAUGUGGUUCUCCUAAGGUUGUAUCAUCUAGGCUUGGUUCCAGUUCCACUUGGAAAGUAUAUAAGAAGCGCUAUAGGAGCCGGUGGCAAGCAACUAGACUAGUCCUUGAUGAUUUAUUGGAAAGAAAUUUGACAAAUUGGAGUCUUUGAAUAUUAUUUGGUAGAUUGGUUUUUAUGCCACGUGUUUUUGUUCUAGACCCUUUUUCUGAUUUAUUUCUCUGUGUAACCGUGUGUCUGAUCAGGCGGAACAAAGGAAGGAAGAAGUAAGGAAGAUGCCUGAGCAGGUGAUUUUAUCAGAAGUCAGGCGCAUGGUGGAAGAGAUGCAAGCUUUAAAUAAGAAGCUAGAAGAUACCGUAAGCUCACAAUUUUCUUGAUUCUUAUUUCUAUUGUUUCGUAAUUGUGAAGCAUGUUGCCAAUCGCCUUAAUCGUCCUGAUUAUAACACUUGAAAAAUGGUCAAACUGUCGAUGAUGUAUUUUUUGGAUUAAAAUGGGUGAAUAGCUUACCAUAUUGAGUGUGGUAAAUAAGUGUGAUGUAGGGGUAAUUGUUCAAUAUAUAAAGAAAAGGUGAACAAUGAAAGGUGAUUAGAUGUCAGUUCAAAUUUGAAAUGGUAUAAAGUAGCAUUGGCUUAUAUUAGUUUGAAUUGACCUGUCAGAAAAGUUUAUACUAGGUUGAUUUGCCAGUGGGAGAGAAGAAGAUGUCAAGUCUGUUUCAGACGGGCUGCAAAGUGAAGUAGGUUGCUUCAUUGAGAUGGAUCCCGUGCUUUUGCUUCAGUUUGCAGUAGAGAAGAACCAAGUUAUCUGCUGAUAUCAAUUUACUUCUCUCUUAGACUCGUGUUUAUUAUAAUUGCUUUGCCAUCACUUUUUAGUAUUUGGUCAUAUGGUUAAUUCCAAGAAAGAAUCCUUUAGACACAAUUUACACUCCCACCUACUUGUAACAAAGAAGUGUUUUUGUUCUCUUUAUUCCUGUUUCCGUGAAUCCUUCUCCUUUUCUGGACUCUUCGUCGUCCCAUUCUUUCAGUGGACUGGCAAUUUGUUAACUUCUCUAGUCAAAGUAGUUAUCUUCAUAGGCAAAGUUGAUUUCCCUCUAGUUUGGAGCAGACGUUACUUAUCUGCCUCGGAGUUUCCCAGUUCAACUGGCAGGCUCAGAAUGGGGUUGAAAACAUGUUUUCUAGGACUAAAUCACUCGGUACUUGAUACUCUGACGUUGAGUAUAGCUCUAAAACUGGGAGAGGCGGAGGAAAAAAGGGAGGGGCCUUGCAAAUGAGCCAAGUGGCUCAUGAGUGUCGUCAGUAUUGUUCCCAAUUCAUACCCGUCUUAUCUGUUAAGUUACAAUCACUUGUUGUCUCAUGGUGUUAGGAGGACCUUAAUUGUGCUUGAAUGCAAAGUAGGGUUGGCUUCAAUCUUCUGUGACUCGUGGCUUUUCUGUGACUUAUAGUAAAUGCUUCCUGUGUUAUUGUAAGAUUUUCUUUCUUGAUUGAUGAUUGUAAUGGUUGAAUAUUUUCAGGAGAUGGCUAUAAAUGAGUAUUUCAAGCCAUUAGACCAGCAAGCAGAGGAAGUAGUGAAAAUGCAACUUAAGGGAGAUGAGAAAAGAAAAGAUGAGCUGAUUGAGGCUAUGCAGAGGCAAGCAAUUCUCGAGAUGGCUCAAGCAGAGAAACAGAAAAACAUGCGAAUGCUAAACACAAACAAACAUGUCCAAGAGAAAGCAUCCACUGAGACACUUAAUCAGAAGAAAGAUAAUUUUGUAGAGAACUAAGUUUAUUAAAUUGGUACUGUGCGAGUUCAUAUGGUUUGCUUCACUGAACGACAUUAUUUUGGCAAUGCAAGAAAGAGGAAUCAGGUACUGUCCUAAGCAUCUGAUGAGUUUGUAACAAUAAAGAAUGACAAGUCUCCAGAUGCGGAUAUAAGAUUUUGAGUUUAUGAGUUCUGAAUUCUAGAAAAGACAGCUUAUGGGUUCUUGAUAAAUUAU
rnacentral:lncRNA from 1 species